rnacentral:rRNA from 1 species
GAUGAACGCUGACAGAAUGCUUAACACAUGCAAGUCAACUUGAACUUCGGUUUGGGUGGCGGACGGGUGAGUAACGCGUACAGAACUUGCCUCACAGUUAGGGACAACAUUUGGAAACGAAUGCUAAUACCUGAUAUUAUGAUUUUAGGGCAUCCUAGAAUUAUGAAAGCUAUAUGCGCUGUGAGAGAGCUUUGCGUCCCAUUAGCUAGUUGGAGAGGUAACGGCUCACCAAGGCGAUGAUGGGUAGCCGGCCUGAGAGGGCGAACGGCCACAAGGGGACUGAGACACGGCCCUUACUCCUACGGGAGGCAGCAGUGGGGAAUAUUGGACAAUGGACCAAGAGUCUGAUCCAGCAAUUCUGUGUGCACGAUGAAGUUUUUCGGAAUGUAAAGUGCUUUCAGUUGGGAAGAAAAAAAUGACGAUACCAACAGAAGAAGUGACGGCUAAAUACGUG